rnacentral:rRNA from 1 species
AGCGAACGCUGGCGGCAGGCUUAACACAUGCAAGUCGAACGGGCAUCUUCGGAUGUCAGUGGCAGACGGGUGAGUAACACGUGGGAACGUACCCUUCGGUUCGGAAUAACUCAGGGAAACUUGAGCUAAUACCGGAUACGCCCUUUUGGGGAAAGGUUUACUGCCGAAGGAUCGGCCCGCGUCUGAUUAGCUUGUUGGCGGGGUAACGGCCUACCAAGGCGACGAUCAGUAGCUGGUCUGAGAGGAUGGUCAGCCACACUGGGACUGAGACACGGCCCAGAAUCCUACGGGAGGCAGCAGUGGGGAAUAUUGGACAGUGGGCGCAAGCCUGAUCCAGCCAUGCCGCGUAAGUGAUGAAGGCCUUAGAGUUGUAAAGCUCUUUUGUCCGGGACGAUAAUGACGGUACCGAAAGAAUAAGCCCCGGCUAACUUCGUG